rnacentral:misc_RNA from 1 species
GAUGAAGAACGCAGCGAAAUGCGAUAAGUAGUGUGAAUUGCAGAAUUCAGUGAAUCAUCGAAUCUUUGAACGCACAUUGCGCCCCUUGGUAUUCCAUGGGGCAUGCCUGUUCGAGCGUCAUUUGUACCUUCAAGCUCUGCUUGGUGUUGGGUGUUUGUCUCGCCUCUGCGUGUAGACUCGCCUCAAAACAAUUGGCAGCCGGCGUAUUGAUUUCGGAGCGCAGUACAUCUCGCGCUUUGCACUCAUAACGACGACGUCCAAAAGUACAUUUUUACACUCUUGACCUCGGAUCAGGUAGGGAUACCCGCUGAACUUAAGCAUAUCAAUAAGCGGAUGA